rnacentral:rRNA from 1 species
GACGAACGCUGGCGGCGUGCUUAACACAUGCAAGUCGAACGGAAAGGCCCUGCUUUUGUGGGGUGCUCGAGUGGCGAACGGGUGAGUAACACGUGAGUAACCUGACCUUGACUUUGGGAUAACUUCAGGAAACUGGGGCUAAUACCGGAUAGGAGCUCAUGCGGCAUGGUGGGGGUUGGAAAGUUUCGGCGGAUGGGGAUGGACACGGGGCUUAUAAGGUUGUUGGUGGGGUAGUGGCUUACCAAGGCUUUGACGGGUAGCCGGCCUGAGGGGGGGACCGGCCACAUUGGUGCUAAGGUGCGGCCCAGACUCCUACGGGGGGCAGCAGUGGGGAAUAUUGCACCAUGGGCGGAAGCCUGAUGCAGCAGCGCCGCGUGCGGGAUGACGGCCGUCGGGUUGUAGACCGCUGUCGCCUGUGACGAAGCGUGAGUGACGGUAAUGGGUAAAGAAGCACCGGCUAACUACGUG